AAGGAAAAGUCAUCCUAUGGAUUUAUUCAUUACUUCGAUCGCAGAUCAGCUGCUCUUGCUAUAUUAUCUCUUAAUGGAAGGCAUUUAUUCGGGCAGCCUAUCAAAGUUAAUUGGGCAUAUGCUAGUAGUCAGCGGGAAGAUACAUCAGGUCAUUACAACAUUUUUGUUGGAGAUCUUAGUCCUGAGGUUACUGAUGCAACUCUUUUUGCCUGCUUUUCAGUUUAUGCCAGUUGUUCGUAAGGCUUUUCCCUCCCUUCGAUAUUUGUGUGCUUGAUGGGCUAAUUUAGCAUUUUGAAUUUAUGAAGUUCUGAAAAAAAUAUUAUAUGAUUCUAAUUGGUGUUCAAAGUGGAGGACCAUCCCUGACUUUGUGCUGGUUUCAGAGAUGCAAGGGUUAUGUGGGAUCAGAAGACUGGGCGUUCAAGAGGUUUUGGGUUUGUCUCUUUCCGGAAUCAACAGGAAGCCCAAAGUGCGAUAAAUGACUUAACAGGGAAGUGG
rnacentral:misc_RNA from 1 species